rnacentral:rRNA from 1 species
UACAGAGGGUGCGAGCGUUAAUCGGAAUUACUGGGCGUAAAGCGUGCGUAGACGGUUACGUAAGUCGGGUGUGAAAGCCCCGGGCUCAACCUGGGAAUUGCAUUCGAGACUGUGUAGCUAGGGUGCGGAAGAGGGAAGCGGAAUUUCCGGUGUAGCGGUGAAAUGCGUAGAUAUCGGAAGGAACAUCAGUGGCGAAAGCGGCUUCCUGGUCCAGCACCGACGUCAGGCACGAAAGCGUGGGGAGCAAACAGG